rnacentral:rRNA from 1 species
AACUACGUGCCAGCAGCCGCGGUAAUACGUAUGUUCCAAGCGUUAUCCGGAUUUAUUGGGCGUAAAGCGAGCGCAGACGGUUAUUUAAGUCUGAAGUGAAAGCCCUCAGCUCAACUGAGGAAUUGCUUUGGAAACUGGAUGACUUGAGUGCAGUAGAGGAAAGUGGAACUCCAUGUGUAGCGGUGAAAUGCGUAGAUAUAUGGAAGAACACCAGUGGCGAAGGCGGC